AUGGCCGGUGGCGCCUUCGUGGUGAACGAUGGCCCCGUCCCGGACUACGGCGGACGCCUGACGCUAUCGGUGCUCAUGACCUGCUUCGUGGCCGCCUCCGGUGGCCUCAUCUUCGGCUAUGACAUCGGCAUAUCAGGCGGCGUGUCGCAAAUGGAGCCGUUCCUGCGGCGGUUCUUCCCGCACGUCCUGGAGAAGAUGGCGGUGGCGAAGCACAACGACUACUGCCUCUACGACAGCCAGGCGCUCACGGCCUUCACGUCGUCGCUGUACAUCGCCGGCCUGCUGGCGUCGCUCGUGGCUAGCCGCGUCACCAAGGCCAUAGGGCGGCAGCGCGUCAUGCUCGUGGGCGGGGCGCUCUUCUUCGCCGGCGGCGCCAUCACUGGCGCGGCUAUGAACAUCGCCAUGCUGAUCAUCGGGCGCAUGCUGCUCGGCUUCGGCGUCGGCUUCACCAACCAGGCGACUCCUGUAUUCCUGUCCGAGAUGGCCCCGACGCAGUGGCGCGGCUCCCUUACCGCCGGCUUCCAGAUCUUCCUCGCCCUCGGCGUCCUCAUCGCCAACCUCACAAACUACGCCACCGCGCGCAUCUCCUGGGGCUGGCGCCUCUCCCUGGGUCUCGCCGGCGCGCCGGCUGUGAUCAUCUUCCUGGGCGCCCUCUUCCUCACGGACACCCCCAGCAGCCUCGUCAUGCGCGGCAAGGCCGACGAGGCCCGCGCCGCGCUCGUCCGGGUGCGCGGGGCCGGCGCGGACGUGGACGCGGAGUUCCAGGACAUCCUGCGCGCCGUGGAGGUCGCGCGCGAGAGCGAGGAAGGCGCGUUCCACCGGAUGGCGACGAGGCGCGAGUACCGCCCUCACCUGGUGCUGGCCGUGGCCGUGCCCAUGUUCUUCCAGCUCACCGGCGUCAUCGUGCUCUCCUUCUUCGCGCCGCUGGUGUUCCGCACCGCCGGGUUCGGCAGCAACGCCGCGCUGAUGGGCGCCGUCAUUCUCGGCGGCGUGAACCUGGGGGCCCUCAUGCUCUCCACCCUCGUCAUCGACCGGUACGGCCGCAAGGUGAUGUUCAUGGUCGGCGGCAUCCAGAUGAUCAUUGCCCAGGUUGCGAUGGCAUGGAUCAUGGGCGCGCAGGUGGGGAAGAGCGGCGACGCGCCGAUGGCGAGGCCGUACGGGGUCGCGAUCCUGGUGUUCACGUGCAUGCACGCCGCCGGGUUCGGGUGGUCGUGGGGGCCGCUGGGGUGGGUGGUGCCGGGCGAGAUAUUCCCGGUGGACAUCCGGUCGGCGGGGCAGGCCAUGAACGUGUCUAUCGGCCUCGGCCUGACGUUCGUGCAGACGCAGUCGUUCCUCCCGAUGCUCUGCAGCUUCAAGUACGCCACGUUCGCCUACUACGCCGGCUGGGUCGCCGUCAUGACCGUCUUCAUCGCGCUGUUCCUGCCGGAGACCAAGGGCGUGCCGCUCGAGUCCAUGGGCACCGUCUGGGUCAAGCACUGGUACUGGAAACGGUUCGUGCAGCCGCAAGCAAAAAGCGCCGACGCACUCACCUAG
rnacentral:rRNA from 1 species